UUUAUUUAUUUAAUUUGUUUGGAAAAUAGAAAUAAAUAAUAAUUAAUAAUAAUAUGGGGAUGUCUGAAAGUAUCAAGGUUAUUGUCUCUCUCUUUCUUGUGGUGUUAUUGGCUCUUGCAGCAACCCAGACAGAGUCAAGAUACAUAAAUUAUCAUGCCCUUCAUGGAGAUCACAGUUUAAUUUGUGAUAAAGCGCACCCAAACACCUGCGAGAAGGAAGAAGCCAAUCCUUAUACUAGAGGAUGCGAGACAAUCGAUCGUUGUCGUGGUCAAUCUCUAGGCCCAAAAAUGUGAAUCGACCAAGUAGAGUACACCACCCUUGGUUAAUUUUACAAAUGAUAUCUCCAUAUUAAUAUCAGAUGAUUAAUUUCAUUCAUUAUUUAUUUAUAAUCUGUAUUGGUUUGUAACUGAUUGUUACCCUAUCAUUUAUGAUAUAAAACAAAUAUAUUUAUGUUAUCUUUUUAUUUUUGAAUAUAUGUUUAAUUUAUUCAAAAGAAAACAAACUUUUUUACCCAAGUGCCACUAAGUUUUGUAAACAAUUAUCCACAAGCUUAAACCAGCUGCGUUCUUGAACUCUCUCGUUUGAUAAAAGGAGAGACACCGAUUGCGAACAAGUUUCUCCAAAGAUUUGGCAAGAGAUGUCACUGUCGUAAGAGCUGCUCCUUGUCUUCUAUCGUUACGUUCUUUCCAUAGUACAUGAACUGAAGCUUGUAAUACAUACCGUGUGAGAAAACGUUGGAGAAAACUGUGUCUUUUAUCUAAGGAACAUAAUCCUCCUGUUUUCUGAUAUUCUCCCAUGUUCUUUUAGUACUGAAAACUGGUUUGUAUUUUUCCUCCUUGUAUUUCCAGUGAGAUUGAUCCUCCACAACUGAAAUUUAUCCCUUUAAGCAUCUAUAAGUGUUUCCACCUCAUUAAAACGAUCAACUCGAUGCCUUCGUCUUCUUCGAUUAGCAACAGCCUUUGCGACAGUGAAUUUUAAAGGAAUUCCUAUGUAAAGCUAUUCCCGCGCCAUUGGAAUUUAAAGGAUUUGGAUAUAGUUUAAUUGUUGAUUUUAAAUGAUAUCUCAAUUAUUUGGGCGAUUGUAACUAUUUAUUGUUGUUUUGAAUAUUUAUAUAUAUAUAUAUAUAUUAAAAUAUUAUUUAUUUAUUUUAAAAUUAGUUAAAUAAAAACUUAUACCCCCAGUUAAAUAAAAACUAGCUCUACCACUGAUUGAACCUUGCAAGCUAGAUAUGUGUUGGAUCUUUUUUCGGAUAUAGCUUCUAUCCGAACAUCAGUCAUGUCAUCUUCCUCAUCGCUAGGGGUAUAUUUAGAAAGAGAAAAAUGAAAUAUAGGGUUUGGACCCCCAUUUUUAAAGGCUCACUUUUAAAAGGUUAUGUAGUUAAUUUUUUAAAAAACAUUUUACCAUUUCAUGUAAAGGAAAGAAGUGCAAACCAAGAAUGAAAAAAUGAUAAUAAUAAUAAAACAUAACUAAAGUAGGAGCUACAAUUAACAUAAAAAAGAAAAAAUAUUAUAUUUACAUAGACUUUUUAACUUUGUCUUUUCCUCUUUCUCCAUGACUCUUAAGCUUUUUCUCGUCUGUAAUAUUUGGGUUAGGCAUGGGCAUUCGAGGUUCCAAUCGGGUUUCGGUUUUGUCCAAUCAGAUCUCGGGUUUUCGGGUUUAUCAAAAUCAGUCUCAUUCGGGUUAUACAAAAAUUCGGUUCGGGACCAGUUCGGGUUCGGAUCGGGGUUAGUAAAUCUUCAAAGAACCGGUACAACCCGAUGUACUUUCGGGUUUGAGUCCCAAUCGGUUCUUUGGUUUAAAAGUACAUAAUUUGUAUUUACUUUGUAACCAAAACAUAAGUAAAAUCAGUUUUUCGGUUUUAAAAUACCUGAUUUAUAUCUAUUUUGUAACCAAAACAUAAGUUAAAUCGAUUCAAAAAUAAGAAAAGAACAUCAAACGCGAUCAUUCAAAAUUAAACGAAAGGUAAUGAUAGAAAGAAAACCAAAUAAAAUAAAGCAUAAAACAAAAACUAAGUUCUCAUGAAAUGAAAAAUAUUAUUCAAUGAAAACAAAACCAAAAUCUAAGAACUUCAAGCUUCAACCACCAACUUCAACCAUCAACAUUUAUGUAAUAUAUAAUUACUUUAGAUGUUCAAUAAUUUCUUAGUGUGUUCUGAAUACUAAAGAUUUAAGAUUAUGUUUGAUACAAGCUAUUUUGGGAGAUUUUGAAUUUUUUGGGUUCUAUCGAGUAUCCAUAUAGGUUCGGGUUCGGUUCGGAUAACACUCAUAACCCAAAAUACCACAAAACAAGAUCCAAUCGGUAUUUACGUCGUGUCGUGUCGGAUCGGUUCAGAUUCAUUUUUAUCGAAUCGGGUUCGAUUUAUUUGCCCAGCUCUAAUUUGGGUAGGCCCCCAUUUUUUCUUGCUUAUGGCCUCAUUUAUUGCCGAGAUCCCCCUACUCACCGCCUUCCGGAACGCCUUUAAAAGUUGUUUUGCGACCUUUAAUCUUGAACAAGGAAAGCAAAUUAUAUCUGUCAUUGCUAAAGAUCCCUUAAUUUUAAGAAAACAUCAACCAGCUGAUCUAUAUACUAAAAGUAUCUGUUUACUAAAAAUUACAUGUUUACUAAUUAAUCACCAUCCCAAAAAUAACUAUUUGAAGUACAUCCACUAUCUUCUAUAUAAGUACCAAUAACCUCUUCUUCAAAACCAAACAGAGCCGAUACCAAAUACAAUUAAAUAUAUAAACACAAAAUAAUUGAGCUCCUAGUCGGGGUUUCUCUUAUAAACUAUUUAUUUAUUUAAUUUGGUUGGAAAAUAAAAAUAAAUAGUAUGGGGAUGUCUGAAAGUAUCAAGGUUAUUGUCUCUCUCUUUCUUGUGGUGUUAUUGGCUCUUGCAGCAACCCAGACAGAGUCAAGAUACAUAAAUUAUCAUGCCCUUCAUGGAGAUCACAGUUUGAUUUGUGAUAAAGCGCACCCAAACACCUGCAAGAAGGAAGAAGCCAAUCCUUAUACCAGAGGAUGCGAGACAAUCGAUCGUUGUCGUGGUCAAUCUCUAGGCCCAAAAAUGUGAAUCGACCAAGUAGCGUACCACCCUUGGUUAAUUUUACAAAUGAUAUCUCCAUAUUAAUAUCAGAUGAUUAAUUUCAUUCAUUAUUUAUUUAUAAUCUGUAUUGGUUUGUAACUGAUUGUUACCCUAUCAUUUAUGAUAUAAAACAAAUAUAUUUAUGUUAUCUUUUUAUUUUUGAAUAUAUGUUUAAUUUAUUCAAAAGAAAACAAACUUUUUUACCCAAGUGCCACUAAGUUUUGUAAACAAUUAUCCACAAGCUUAAACCAGCUACGUUCUUGAACUCUCUCGUUUGAUAAAAGGAGAGACACCGAUUGCGAACAAGUUUCUCCAAAGAUUUGGCAAGAGAUGUCACUGUCGUAAGAGCUGCUCCUUGUCUUCUAUCGUUACGUUCUUUCCAUAGUACAUGAACUGAAGCUUGUAAUACAUACCGUGUGAGAAAACGUUGGAGAAAACUGUGUCUUUUAUCUAAGGAACAUAAUCCUCCUGUUUUCUGAUAUUCUCCCAUGUUCUUUUAGUACUGAAAACUGGUUUGUAUUUUUCCUCCUUGUAUUUCCAGUGAGAUUGAUCCUCCACAACUGAAAUUUAUCCCUUUAAGCAUCUAUAAGUGUUUCCACCUCAUUAAAACGAUCAACUCGAUGCCUUCGUCUUCUUCGAUUAGCAACAGCCUUUGCGACAGUGAAUUUUAAAGGAAUUCCUAUGUAAAGCUAUUCCCGCGCCAUUGGAAUUUAAAGGAUUUGGAUAUAGUUUAAUUGUUGAUUUUAAAUGAUAUCUCAAUUAUUUGGGCGAUUGUAACUAUUUAUUGUUGUUUUGAAUAUUUAUAUAUAUAUAUAUUAAAAUAUUAUUUAUUUAUUUUAAAAUUAGUUAAAUAAAAACUUAUACCCCCAGUUAAAUAAAAACUAGCUCUACCACUGAUUGAACCUUGCAAGCUAGAUAUGUGUUGGAUCUUUUUUCGGAUAUAGCUUCUAUCCGAACAUCAGUCAUGUCAUCUUCCUAAUCGCUAGGGGUAUAUUUAGAAAGAGAAAAAUGAAAUAUAGGGCUUGGACCCCCAUUUUUAAAGGCUCACUUUUAAAAGGUUAUGUAGUUAAUUUUUUAAAAAACAUUUUACCAUUUCAUGUAAAGGAAAGAAGUGCAAACCAAGAAUGAAAAAAUGAUAAUAAUAAUAAAACAUAACUAAAGUAGGAGCUACAAUUAACAUAAAAAAGAAAAAAAUAUUAUUUACAUAGACUUUUUAACUUUGUCUUUUCCUCUUUCUCCAUGACUCUUAAGCUUUUUCUCGUCUGUAAUAUUUGGGUUAGGCAUGGACAUUCGAGGUCCCAAUCGGGUUUCGGUUUUGUCCAAUCAGAUCUCGGGUUUUCGGGUUUAUCAAAAUCAGUCUCAUUCGGGUUAUACAAAAAUUCGGUUCGGGACCAGUUCGGGUUCGGGUUCGGGUCGGGGUUAGUAAAUCUUCAAAGAACCGGUACAACCCGAUGUACUUUCGGGUUUGAGUCCCAAUCGGUUCUUUGGUUUAAAAGUACAUAAUUUGUAUUUACUUUGUAACCAAAACAUAAGUAAAAUCAUUUCUUCGGUUUUAAAAUACCUGAUUUAUAUCUAUUUUGUAACCAAAACAUAAGUUAAAUCGAUUCAAAAAUAAGAAAAGAACAUCAAACGCGAUCAUUCAAAAUUAAACGAAAGGUAAUGAUAGAAAGAAAACCAAAUAAAAUAAAGCAUAAAACAAAAACUAAGUUCUCAUGAAAUGAAAAAUAUUAUUCAAUGAAAACAAAACCAAAAUCUAAGAACUUCAAGCUUCAACCACCAACUUCAACCAUCAACAUUAAUGUAAUAUAUAAUUACUUUAGAUGUUCAAUAAUUUCUUAGUGUGUUCUGAAUACUAAAGAUUUAAGAUCAUGUUUGAUACAAGCUAUUUUGGGAGAUUUUGAAUUUUUUGGGUUCUAUCGAGUAUCCAUAUAGGUUCGGGUUCGGUUCGGAUAACACUCAUAACCCAAAAUACCACAAAACAAGAUCCAAUCGGUAUUUACGUCGUGUCGGAUCGGUUCGGAUUCAUUUUUAUCGAAUCGGGUUCGAUUUAUUUGCCCAGCUCUAAUUUGGGUAGGCCCCCAUUUUUUCUUGCUUAUGGCCUCAUUUAUUGCCGAGAUCCCCCUACUCACCGCCUUCCGGAACGCCUUUAAAAGUUGUUUUGCGACCUUUAAUCUUGAACAAGGAAAGCAAAUUAUAUCUGUCAUUGCUAAAGAUCCCUUAAUUUUAAGAAAACAUCAACCAGCUGAUCUAUAUACUAAAAGUAUCUGUUUACUAAAAAUUACAUGUUUACUAAUUAAUCACCAUCCCAAAAAUAACUAUUUGAAGUACAUCCAUUAUCUUCUAUAUAAGUACCAAUAACCUCUUCUUCAAAACCAAACAGAGCCGAUACCAAAUACAAUUAAAUAUAUAAACACAAAAUAAUUGAGCUCCUAGUCGGGGUUUCUCUUAUAAACUAUUUAUUUAUUUAAUUUGUUUGGAAAAUAAAAAUAAAUAGUAUGGGGAUGUCUGAAAGUAUCAAGGUUAUUGUCUCUCUCUUUCUUGUGGUGUUAUUGGCUCUUGCAGCAACCCAGACAGAGUCAAGAUACAUAAAUUAUCAUGCCCUUCAUGGAGAUCACAGUUUGAUUUGUGAUAAAGCGCACCCAAACACCUGCAAGAAGGAAGAAGCCAAUCCUUAUACCAGAGGAUGCGAGACAAUCGAUUGUUGUCGUGGUCAAUCUCUAGGCCCAAAAAUGUGAAUCGACCAAGUAGCGUACCACCCUUGGUUAAUUUUACAAAUGAUAUCUCCAUAUUAAUAUCAGAUGAUUAAUUUCAUUCAUUAUUUAUUUAUAAUCUGUAUUGGUUUGUAACUGAUUGUUACCCUAUCAUUUAUGAUAUAAAACAAAUAUAUUUAUGUUAUCUUUUUA
rnacentral:lncRNA from 1 species